GGUCAGUGAUGAGGAGUAAAAGGUCUGAUUGCCCACAAUCCUCUGCUGCCUCCGGCUCCCAGCAGCUCGCUCUCUGCUCCCAUCACGCUCCAGUGAUGCAGCGAUGGGCCCAGCAGCUGCUGACACACAGGAUGUGACAUCACUGAGAAGCUGCUCGGAGAAUGGACAGUGUCUCAGUGAUGGUGAUUGACAUCCAACAUAACCAAUCAGCACGGAGCGUCAGGCAGCGGAGGACGAGAAGGGAGCUGAUCUCAAGUUUUCAACCUGAGGCC
rnacentral:snoRNA from 1 species